ACGUAGGGUGCGAGCGUUAAUCGGAAUUACUGGGCGUAAAGCGUGCGCAGGCGGUUCGCUAAGACAGGUGUGAAAUCCCCGGGCUUAACCUGGGAAUGGCGCUUGUGACUGGCGGGCUGGAGUACGGCAGAGGGGGGUGGAAUUCCACGUGUAGCAGUGAAAUGCGUAGAGAUGUGGAGGAACACCAGUGGCGAAGGCGACACGCUGGACCUGAACUGACGCUCAGGCGCGAAAGCGUGGGGAGCGAACAG
rnacentral:rRNA from 1 species